GUUAAGUAAUUAACUGUACCGAAGACAGUAGGUGAGGCGACUCGUAAAUCCUACCGAGGACACAAUAUGAGAAAAUCAUUUGUCCCUUCAUGUCUUUUUGUGUACGUGAAGUUUUUUUAUUGUAAA
rfam:Pilibacter termitis strain ATCC BAA-1030 genome assembly, contig: EI49DRAFT_scaffold00015.15